rnacentral:rRNA from 1 species
AGGGCGCAAGGAGAAUGCCUUGGCACUGGGAGCCGAUGAAAGACGUGGUAAGCUGCGAUAAGCUUCGGGGAGGAGCAAACAUCCUUUGAUCCGGAGAUUUCUGAAUGAGGAAACUCACCAGAGUUCAUACUCUGGUAUCCUGUACUGAAUCCAUAGGUACAGGAGGGGAACCGCCUGAACUGAAACAUCUAAGUAGGGCGAGGAAGAGACAUCAAACGAGAUUCCGUUAGUAGUGGCGAGCGAACGCGGAAGAGGGCAAACCGGAAGGAGAAAUCCUUCCGGGGUAUGGACCGCUUUUAGGACUUUAGCUGUUAAUCGAAUGGCAUGGGAAGGCCAACCAAAGAGUGUGAGAGUCACGUAGAUGAAAACGGCGAGAGCUGCGCGAGUUCCAGAGUACGGCCAGACACGUGAAACCUGGUCGGAAGAUGGGGGGACCACCCUCCAACCCUAAAUACUACCCAGUGACCGAUAGCGUAUAGUACUGUGAAGGAAAGGUGAAAAGGACCCCGGGAGGGGAGUGAAAUAGAACCUGAAACCUUGUGCCUACAAGCACAUAGAGCACAUCAACGUGUGAUAUGGUACCUUUUGUAGAAUGGUCCGGCGAGUGAAUGUAACUGGCGAGGUUAAGUUCUUAAGGAACGGAGCCGAAGCGAAAGCAAGUCUGAAUAGGGCGUCUUAGUCAGUUGUAUUCGACCCGAAACCGGGUGACCUAUCCAUGUCCAGGAUGAAGUUAAGGUAAAACUUGAUGGAGGUCCGAACCCACGGUCGUUGAAAUGCCCGGGGAUGAGAUGUGGAUAGCGGAGAAAUUCCAAUCGAACCCGGAUAUAGCUGGUUCUCUCCGAAAUAGCUUUAGGGCUAGCCUCGACUGAACAUUACCGGAGGUAGAGCACUGAAUGGGCUAGGGGCCGAGAGGUUACUGAACCCUAUCAAACUUCAAAUGCCGGAAAAUGAUAGUCGGGAGUCAGACUGCGUGAGAUAAGUUUCGUAGUCGAAAGGGAAACAGCCCAGACCCACAGCUAAGGUCCCAAAGUACGGUUAAGUGGAAAAGGAUGUGGGGUUGCAUAGACAACCAGGAUGUUGGCUUAGAAGCAGCCACUCAUUAAAAGAGUGCGUAAUAGCUCACUGGUCGAGUGACUCUGCGCGGAAAAUAUAACGGGGCUAAGCAUGAAACCGAAGCUUGGGCUUGUACUUAGGUACAGGGGUAGGGGAGCGUCGAGUAUGGGGUGAAGUCAGAGCGGAAGCACUGGUGGACUGUACUGGAGUGAGAAUGCCGGAAUGAGUAGCGAGAAUUAUGUGGGAAUCAUAAUGGCCGAAAAUCUAAGGUUUCUUGGGGAAGGUUCGUCCGCCCAAGGUAAGUCGGGAGCUAAGCUCAGGCCGAGAGGCGUAGGCGAUGCACAUACGGUAGAAAUUCCGUAACCACCGAAACUUAAACAGAGGGACACUUCGAAAUAGCGGAACCCGGGCGUUGGUUGACCCGGGCGUAAGGGAGCGAAAUUAGAGUAGCGAAGUCCGCGAUGUUCGGAGGCGAGAAAAGCUCUGAGGUAUGCUAAGGUGCCCGUACCGCAAACCGACACAGGUAGAUGAGGAGAGAAUCCUAAGGCCAACGGGAGAAGGGUUGUUAAGGAACUCGGCAAAUUGACCCCGUAACUUCGGAAGAAGGGGAGCCCCCUACGGGGGGUCGCAGAGAAAUGGCCCAAGCAACUGUUUACCAAAAACACAGGUCUAUGCUAAAUCGAAAGAUGACGUAUAUGGGCUGACGCCUGCCCGGUGCCGGAAGGUUAAGAGGAGAUGUCAGGCAACGAAGCAUUGAAUUUAAGCCCCGGUAAACGGCGGCCGUAACUAUAACGGUCCUAAGGUAGCGAAAUUCCUUGUCAGGUAAGUUCUGACCCGCACGAAUGGCGUAAUGAUUUGGGCACUGUCUCAACAGCCCGCCCGGCGAAAUUGUAGUACUGGUGAAGAUGCCAGUUACCCGCAACUAGACGGAAAGACCCCAUGGAGCUUUACUGCAGCUUAAUACUGAAAUUCGGUAGUACAUGUACAGGAUAGGUGGGAGACUGAGAAAUACAGGCGUCAGCUUGUGUGGAGUCGCUGUUGGGAUACCACUCUUGUACUGCUGGGUUUCUAACCUGCGGCCGUGAAUCCGGUCGGGGGACACUGUUAGGCGGGCAGUUUGACUGGGGCGGUCGCCUCCAAAAGAGUAACGGAGGCGCUCAAAGGUUCGUUCAGCACGGACGGAAAUCGUGCAUUGAGUGUAAACGCAUAAACGAGCCUAACUGCGAGACCGACGGGUCGAGCAGUAACGAAAGUUGGAGUUAGUGAUCCGGUGGUAUGUGAGUGGAAAUGCCAUCGCUCAACGGAUAAAAGUUACCCUGGGGAUAACAGGCUGAUCUCCCCCAAGAGUCCACAUCGACGGGGAGGUUUGGCACCUCGAUGUCGGCUCAUCGCAUCCUGGGGCUGAAUUCGGUCCCAAGGGUUUGGCUGUUCGCCAAUUAAAGCGGCACGCGAGCUGGGUUCAGAACGUCGUGAGACAGUUCGGUCCCUAUCUGUUGCGGGCGUAAGAGAUUUGAAGGGAGCUGUCCUUAGUACGAGAGGACCGGGAUGGACGUACCUCUGGUGCACCAGUUGUCCUGCCAAGGGCAUAGCUGGGUAGCUAUGUACGGACGAGAUAAACGCUGAAAGCAUCUAAGCGUGAAACUCCCCCUAAGAUGAGAUCUCUCAUCCUUCA